rnacentral:rRNA from 1 species
GGCCUUGACAUACUAAGAACUUUCCAGAGAUGGAUUGGUGCCUUCGGGAACUUAGAUACAGGUGCUGCAUGGCUGUCGUCAGCUCGUGUCGUGAGAUGUUGGGUUAAGUCCCGCAACGAGCGCAACCCUUUUCCUUAUUUGCCAGCGGGUCAUGCCGGGAACUUUAAGGAUACUGCCAGUGACAAACUGGAGGAAGGCGGGGACGACGUCAAGUCAUCAUGGCCCUUACGGCCAGGGCUACACACGUGCUACAAUGGUCGGUACAAAGGGUUGCUACCUCGCGAGAGGAUGCUAAUCUCAAAAAAGCCGAUCGUAGUCCGGAUCGCAGUCUGCAACUCGACUGCGUGAAGUCGGAAUCGCUAGUAAUCGCGGAUCAGAAUGCCGCGGUGAAUACGUUCCCGGGCCUUGUACACACCGCCCGUCACACCAUGGGAGUUUGUUGCACCAGAAGUAGGUAGUCUAACCGCAAGGAGGACGCUUACCACGGUGUGGCCGAUGACUGGGGUGAAGUCGUAACAAGGUAGGCGUAGAUGA